UCGAACUCCCAAAUAGCUGGUUUUCCGCGAAAGUUGUUUAAGCAAUGUGGUUUGUAGUCUAUUCAUUAAUGGUAUGGCUCUGACUAAACUAGGGGUCUUUGUUUAAAGAUUACCAAAUUUAAUCAAACUCAGAAUAAGAAUGAAGAAGGAAAUUGUGCAGACUAUCGGUGAUAAGGUUGAUAGUCAAAAGGGAAAAAGCCCUAAUCAGUAGUUAAUGUCACAAAGAGUAGUGGUCGACCCCGGUGGCCGACCUCUAGGAGUGUAAACUAUACUUCACUCCCUCGAGGUUGGCCACCGGGGUGGCCGAGAUAGUUAAGUGUUUAAGAUGGUGAAAAAGCAUUAACAAUAAGAAAGUAGGCUUGGAAACGGCCUCUUUUAAAGAAAACGUAAUAGUUCACUUAUCACCUUGGGCAUCCCUUCGGGAGUCCCUCCAGGACAGCUUUUUUGCAUCGAAAAUUUAGGUGGCUAAAAUACUCACUGAAACUCUGAUUAAAGAAUAUGUCCCUGUGGACGACCCUCUUUAAGGUAGCGGAACAUCAUGUAUAAAAUGGAAUCGAUUUCGUAAGAAAAAAGAUAUGGGUAAAAAUAUAAAUCAUGAGAGAUUAUGCUGACAUGAGUAAGAAAAUGUAGAUGACCCGAGGUCAGCAUAUCUACAGACCGAAAGUCUAAGGUUUUCAACGCUCUGAUAAACAACGUUGAUUUAGUCUGUCCCUAAGUGAUUGGCCCUUUGGGAGUCACGAUGGGAUCCUUUAGAAUGACGAUCCUAUUUUUGCAAUGAAUGAGCACCUCACCCUCGGGAGGUAGUGGGGUAACUCAGGGGGGCUGGUAGCUACGGGAUCGUAGG
rnacentral:ncRNA from 1 species